AUAGAUUUACUGAGUAUCUCCUUUGUAAAGAUGCUAGGAGCAUGGGGAAGACUUGAUCCUGCUCCCUCCUAGGAAGCUCACAAUAUAGCAAGGGGACAAGGUAUUAGAUUCUAUGAUUUCACAUAUAAUAAAAUAUUUGCACACUUGUAAUUUGCUUCAUUAUAAUAAUUCUGUACUUGUUUUAGGUGAGGAUCUUCAUGGAAGUACCAUCAACUCAGAUUUUGACUAGAGUUUUACAGGAAUGAUUUUUAAUCUGUCUGAAUAUUAGAAUAACUGUGGGGGUUUGGGAGUAUUAAGAGUGCCAAUUUGGUCCACUUCCAGGCAAAAUGAAGUGACAAGAACAGGAUUUACCUUCCUGCUGAAACAACCAAAUGAUGGACAAAAUAUAUGGAACAAUGGUGCACAUUACACUGGACAUCAGGCAAAAAGGAGAGUGACCUCUCUGAGAUGGUGAACAUAUAGGAUAAGCCCUAUAAUUGCCCCAGUGUAUUGCCUUAAGCAUUUGCAGUUUACAACGUAGAGAAGAGAAACUCAAUCAGAGUUUAAGGGACUGCUUGAGUUGAGGAGGAGCUGAGAGUUCAAGGACACCAAGGACAGAGUCCUGAAGAGGAGAAAGCCACACAGAAGAGGAUCUCUAGAGAUCAAGUAUUCAGCUGAGUAUGUUCCUGAUACUUGGUAACUAUACCAACAAUUCUGGAGCAAUUGGCAGAAUAUUGAAGUGUUGAGGAUUACAAGCAAAUAAUUACAUUUAUUUUAAUUAAACUCCACUUGAUUCCCACAUGAUUCUCACAUGACUCACAGCAAAAACAUAUAAAUCCAGGGGUGUUAAGACUAAAAUCAAGAGAUCAGGAACCAUACAGAGCAAGUCGAUUUUGUUCGUGUGACCAAAAAGGCAUUACGAAAGACAAUACUUACGUUCAAGUGUGGCUCUGAGUUGUGUGGCAGGAGGGGCAAAAUGGACAGCGUGCUCUCGCUACUCCUGAGGAGAAACACCAUUCCUUAGAGCGACUCUUCAGAAAGGUAUUUUUCAUGUGGUCUCAACAUUUUGAUAGCACCUAUGGCAGUAGACUUUAUGCACAAAUAGCUUAAAAUUAUUCAUUUUAAUUGUCAUAAAAUUGAUGUAACAUGUUUCCAGGUCUCAGUUGUUUUAAGGUUCAGUUUCUCAAUUAUGAACCGAUUUAGUGAUGGUAUACUCCUCAUGGACUUUUAUGGGUAAUCACAAAUCAUAUGCCAAUUUUUUGGUUCUGGACUCAGGCACAUGCUACAAAUGACAGACCAAAGGUGCCAAUCCAAAAUGUUUUCUUAAAAUAAGUAAAGCACAGAGGAAAGGAGCUGGAUGUAUGAAAAUGUUUCAGAGAGCAACAGGUCUCAGAAGGAGGACAUAGAUGAAUGAAGUUUAUAGACCCUUCUCAUGUUUACUGCUUUGGUAAAAAUAAAUGUCAUACCUUUGUUUUAGUGCUUUUCUGCUGUUCUGUUACAUGACUUUGAGGGGUUUAUGAUUGCGUUUUGAUUCAUGUCUGUAACUUUCCAGGAGGGAGUGCUUUACAUAUUAAAACGUCCAUGGUGAAUUAUGCUUUCAAGAAAAUAUGGAGAUAUUUAUGACCACAAAACUCCCAAAUAAAAUUGGAAUUACACACUACAGAGCAGUAGUGUGUAGCGUUUGCUUUUUCUUCCCUGAGAACCUGCACAAUGCAUCCUUAGACUACCCCUGGGUGAUUCAAGAUUGAAAAGCACAGGGCAUACUGUCCCUGGGAACAACAGGAACUUGAAAUACUGAGAUUGAAUCGUUACACCUUAAAUAAAAUGAUGAUAACAGCUACAGGUUCAGCAUCUAACAUGUGUGGUCAGUCAUGAAAUAUCUCAGUACGCUGGAUGUAAAAAGCUAAAUUACGGCAAAGAAAAUAUUUUUCAAGUUAAAGGUGAUGUAAUGGAAACCGUAAGUUCAUUUGAUUUGGACACAGCCUCAAAGUUUCAGGAAAAGCUUCCAUUUAUGGAACAGAAACACAUUUGAUGCUGAAUAGCAGCACAGAAAAGAGAAAAUGCACAACAGAAGAGAAAACCAAAUGGUGGUGAUUCUUGCCCUAAAAUAAUGGGUAGUGCAGGUUGACGGUACCUUUAACGUCCAGGCUGGAGGCCAGAUACUAGCAGCUGCCUGGAGCAGGUAUCAGACCUGAGUGAUGAAAUCACACCCAUUCUUUGAUUUUUCUUCCUGCCUCCAAUGGUCUGAGUGGGCAGGAGUUUGGGUGUGUGUGGUAUUAAGCAAAGAAUGGGAAAGCAAGAAGGAGGAAAACUUUAUUUUUAAUUUUGGAGCCAUGAUUUUGUCAGGUGAAUGGAUUUUGGUUUGGGGGCAUUUGACAGUAGAACAAAGAUGGGCCACUCUAAGCAGCACAGACCUCAAAGCUGAACUAACAGUGUGGAUGGGAAAUAUGACUGAAAUACCCUUGAGAUGGGGACCAGGUGUUUCUCUUCUAUCUCUUAUUACCCUGAAGAACCCAGGCAGUGAUGAAUUAAAGCACAAAGACAUCAGUUUUAUAGCAGAGACGAAAGGCAGAAGUCAACAGCCUGAUCCCGCAGCCUUUUGGAUGUAAUAAACCCACUGGAUUGCAAAAGCACCUGGAAUUUAACUCCUCUUUCACCCUCUCAUGUGUAACUUUAAAACGUAAAACAACAAAACUGUUAAUGCCCCUUUCCCUGAAAGUGUUCCAUUUCCCAGCAUCUAGUGGUCCCAAAGCAACUCCUUUAAGAUCAGCAGUACGAAACAAUGGUUUUCUCUAUCUUCCUCAAGUCCUUGUGGAAAGGAGAAUUCUCAUUUUGUAAUCCCAAUAACCACUGUAACCUUUUACAUUUAUUAAUAUUCUUUCAUCAAGACUUCAGAGUUUCCUAUACCUAUAGACCUUCAUUCAGCCAAACCAAUCAUACAAGAUAGAUGACACGUCCAGUUUUCAGGUGUAGAAACUAAGGCACAGCAUGCUUUUCUGACCUUCGAAUGCACUUAAAAACUAAGCAAUACAACAGGGACACGAAUAUGUAAACUACGGAGAAAGAGGACCCUCUCAUCUUCCAUCCAAAUCCUCUACUUCUGAGCUGUCGAUCUGUAUUAUAUAACACAUUUCAGUACAAGGAUGAAUGAAUGCCAUUUCCUUGCUAAACUCUUUAAAAAUGAAAGUGCUCAUUUUUACUUACUUAUCUUCAAUAUACAAAACUCAGUUUUAUUUAUAUACACUGGCAAUGUCAAUCCAAAAUGAAUUAAGAAAACAAUGCCAUCUACAAUACUACUAAGAACAAUAAAAGAUUUAGGCACAAAUUUAACAAAAGAAGGGCAAGAUGUGUACGUUGAAAACUCCAAAACACUACUGAAAGAAAUUAAAGAGGACUUAAAAACCUAGAAGAGAUAUGCCACUUUCAUGAAUCAGAAAACUUAAUUUUUUAUUGAGGUAUAAUUAACAUAUAACAUAGUAGUUUCAGGUGUACAAUAUAAUGCUUUGAUAUUUGUAUACACUGCAAAAUGAUCAUCACAAUGAAUCUAAUUACCAUCUGUCACAAUACAAAGUUAUGAAAAACAUGUUUUUGUUUUCUCUUUUGGCAGCUUUCAAAUAUGCACUACAUAUUAUUGACUGUAAUCACCAUGUUAUAUACAUUA